rnacentral:rRNA from 1 species
CGCGCUCGUGCUGAGUCUUAACGACUCUCGGCAACGGAUAUCUCGGCUCUCGCAUCGAUGAAGAACGUAGCGAAAUGCGAUACUUGGUGUGAAUUGCAGAAUCCCGUGAACCAUCGAGUCUUUGAACGCAAGUUGCGCCCGAAGCCGUUAGGUUGA